GAUCCUGGCUCAGGAUGAACGCUAGCUACAGGCUUAACACAUGCAAGUCGAGGGGCAGCAUGGUCUUAGCUUGCUAAGGCUGAUGGCGACCGGCGCACGGGUGAGUAACACGUAUCCAACCUGCCGUCUACUCUUGGCCAGCCUUCUGGAAGGAAGGUUAAUCCAGGAUGGGAUCAUGAGUUCACAUGUCCGCAUGAUUAAAGGUAUUUUCCGGUAGACGAUGGGG
rnacentral:rRNA from 1 species